GAUGAACGCUGGCGGCGUGCCUAAUACAUGCCAGUCGAGCGAACAGACGAGGAGCUUGCUCCUCUGACGUUAGCGGCGGACGGGUGAGUAACACGUGGAUAACCUACCUAUAAGACUGGGAUAACUUCGGGAAACCGGAGCUAAUACUGGAUAAUAUAUUGAACCGCAUGGUUCAAUAGUGAAAGACGGUUUUGCUGUCACUUAUAGAUGGAUCCGCGCCGCAUUAGCUAGUUGGUAAGGUAACGGCUUACCAAGGCAACGAUGCGUAGCCGACCUGAGAAGGUGAUCGGCCACACUGGAACUGAGACACGGUCCAGACUCCUACGGGAGGCAGCAGUAGGGAAUCUUCCGCAAUGGGCGAAAGCCUGACGGAGCAACGCCGCGUGAGUGAUGAAGGUCUUCGGAUCGUAAAACUCUGUUAUUAGGGAAGAACAAAUGUGUAAGUAACUAUGCACGUCUUGACGGUACCUAAUCAGAAAGCCACGGCUAACUACGUG
rnacentral:rRNA from 1 species